rnacentral:rRNA from 1 species
GAUAAGGAGCUUGCUCCUUUGACGUUAGCGGCGGACGGGUGAGUAACACGUGGGUAACCUACCUAUAAGACUGGGAUAACUUCGGGAAACCGGAGCUAAUACCGGAUAACAUUUGGAACCGCAUGGUUCUAAAGUGAAAGAUGGUUUUGCUAUCACUUAUAGAUGGACCCGCGCCGUAUUAGCUAGUUGGUAAGGUAACGGCUUACCAAGGCAACGAUACGUAGCCGACCUGAGAGGGUGAUCGGCCACACUGGAACUGAGACACGGUCCAGACUCCUACGGGAGGCAGCAGUAGGGAAUCUUCCGCAAUGGGCGAAAGCCUGACGGAGCAACGCCGCGUGAGUGAUGAAGGGUUUCGGCUCGUAAAACUCUGUUAUUAGGGAAGAACAAACGUGUAAGUAACUAUGCACGUCUUGACGGUACCUAAUCAGAAAGCCACGGCUAACUACGUGCCAGCAGCCGCGGUAAUACGUAGGUGGCAAGCGUUAUCCGGAAUUAUUGGGCGUAAAGCGCGCGUAGGCGGUUUCUUAAGUCUGAUGUGAAAGCCCACGGCUCAACCGUGGAGGGUCAUUGGAAACUGGGAAACUUGAGUGCAGAAGAGGAAAGUGGAAUUCCAUGUGUAGCGGUGAAAUGCGCAGAGAUAUGGAGGAACACCAGUGGCGAAGGCGACUUUCUGGUCUGUAACUGACGCUGAUGUGCGAAAGCGUGGGGAUCAAACAGGAUUAGAUACCCUGGUAGUCCACGCCGUAAACGAUGAGUGCUAAGUGUUAGGGGGUUUCCGCCCCUUAGUGCUGCAGCUAACGCAUUAAGCACUCCGCCUGGGGAGUACGACCGCAAGGUUGAAACUCAAAGGAAUUGACGGGGACCCGCACAAGCGGUGGAGCAUGUGGUUUAAUUCGAAGCAACGCGAAGAACCUUACCAAAUCUUGACAUCCUUUGAAAACUCUAGAGAUAGAGCCUUCCCCUUCGGGGGACAAAGUGACAGGUGGUGCAUGGUUGUCGUCAGCUCGUGUCGUGAGAUGUUGGGUUAAGUCCCGCAACGAGCGCAACCCUUAAGCUUAGUUGCCAUCAUUAAGUUGGGCACUCUAGGUUGACUGCCGGUGACAAACCGGAGGAAGGUGGGGAUGACGUCAAAUCAUCAUGCCCCUUAUGAUUUGGGCUACACACGUGCUACAAUGGACAAUACAAAGGGCAGCUAAACCGCGAGGUCAUGCAAAUCCCAUAAAGUUGUUCUCAGUUCGGAUUGUAGUCUGCAACUCGACUACAUGAAGCUGGAAUCGCUAGUAAUCGUAGAUCAGCAUGCUACGGUGAAUACGUUCCCGGGUCUUGUACACACCGCCCGUCACACCACGAGAGUUUUAACACCCGAAGCCGGUGGAGUAACCAU